UACGGAGGAUCCGAGCGUUAUCCGGAUUUAUUGGGUUUAAAGGGUGCGCAGGCGGGAGAUUAAGUCGGCGGUGAAAUUUUACAGCUUAACUGUAAAAGUGCCUUCGAAACUGGUUUCCUUGAGUGUAGAUGAAGUAGGCGGAAUUUGUGGUGUAGCGGUGAAAUGCAUAGAUAUCACGAGGAACUCCGAUUGCGCAGGCAGCUUACUAAACUACUACUGACGCUCAGGCACGAAGGCGUGGGGAUCAAACAGGAUUAGAUACCCUGGUAGUCCCU
rnacentral:rRNA from 1 species